GGACGAACGCUGGUGGCGUGCCUAAUACAUGCAAGUUGAGCGCUGAAGGUUGGUACUUGUACCAACUGGAUGAGCAGCGAACGGGUGAGUAACGCGUGGGGAAUCUGCCUUUGAGCGGGGGACAACAUUUGGAAACGAAUGCUAAUACCGCAUAAAAACUUUAAACACAAGUUUUAAGUUUGAAAGAUGCAAUUGCAUCACUCAAAGAUGAUCCCGCGUUGUAUUAGCUAGUUGGUGAGGUAAAGGCUCACCAAGGCGAUGAUACAUAGCCGACCUGAGAGGGUGAUCGGCCACAUUGGGACUGAGACACGGCCCAAACUCCUACGGGAGGCAGCAGUAGGGAAUCUUCGGCAAUGGACGAAAGUCUGACCGAGCAACGCCGCGUGAGUGAAGAAGGUUUUCGGAUCGUAAAACUCUGUUGGUAGAGAAGAACGUUGGUGAGAGUGGAAAGCUCAUCAAGUGACGGUAACUACCCAGAAAGGGACGGCUAACUACGUG
rnacentral:rRNA from 1 species